rnacentral:rRNA from 1 species
CUGGGAGAGGUCGGAUGAUACUGUUGAUCUGAGGGGUGUCAGAGGCGUGUGGAAUUCCGCGUGUAGUGGUGAAAUGCGUAGAUAUGCGGAGGAACACCAGUGGCGAAGGCGGCACGCUGGGACAUACCUGACGCUGAGGCGCGAAAGCAUGGGUAGCGAACGGGAUUAGAAACCCCGGUAGUCCAUGCCGUAAACGAUGUACACUAGAUGUUCGUGCGGCUGCGGUCGUGUGAGUGUCGAAGCAAACGCGCUAAGUGUACCGCCUGGGGAGUACGGUCGCAAGGCUAAAACUCAAAGGAAUUGACGGGGGCCCGCACAAGCAGCGGAGCGUGUGGUUUAAUUCGAGGCUACGCGAAGAACCUUACCUGGGUUUGACAUCAUGAUUAACCCUGUCGAAAGAUGGGGGUGCCUUCGGGCGGUCAUGACAGGUGCUGCAUGGCUGUCGUCAGCUCGUGUCGUGAGAUGUUCGGUUAAGUCCGAAAACGAGCGCAACCCCUAGGUUCAGUUACAAGUGUCUGGACCGACUGCCUGCGGCAAGCAGGAGGAAGGUGGGGAUGACGUCAAGUCAGCAUGGCCUUUAUAUCCAGGGCUACACACACGCUACAAUGGCGCGUACAAUGGGUCGCGAAACCGCGAGGUGGAGCCAAUCCUAAAAAGCGCGUCGUAGUUCGGAUUGCAGGCUGCAACUCGCCUGCAUGAAGUCGGAGUUGCUAGUAACCGCAGGUCAGCACACUGCGGUGAAUACGUUCCCGGGCCUUGUACACACCGCCCGUCACGUCACGGGAGCUAGUCACGCCUGAAGUCGGGAAGCUAACCGCAAGGAGGCUACCGCCGAAGGCAGGGCCGGUGACUGGGACGAAGUCGUAACAAGGUAGCUGUAGCGGAAGCUGCGGCUGGAUCACCU